UACGUAGGGUGCGAGCGUUAAUCGGAAUUACUGGGCGUAAAGCGUGCGCAGGCGGCUUUGUAAGCCAGAUGUGAAAUCCCCGGGCUUAACCUGGGAACUGCGUUUGAGACUGCAAGGCUAGAGUGUGGCAGAGGGGGGUAGAAUUCCACGUGUAGCAGUGAAAUGCGUAGAGAUGUGGAGGAAUACCGAUGGCGAAGGCAGCCCCCUGGGUCAACACUGACGCUCAUGCACGAAAGCGUGGGGAGCAAACAGG
rnacentral:rRNA from 1 species